GCGCCGGUAGCUCAGCUGGAUAGAGCACAUGACUACGGAUCAUGAGGUCGGGGGUUCGAAUCCCUCCCGGCGCG
rnacentral:tRNA from 1 species